rnacentral:pre_miRNA from 1 species
AAAAUUAUCCCUGAAUGGAGAGGGGUCUUGUUAAAAAGCACAUUCUGGCUCAGUAGGUCCAGAAUGGAGCCUUAGAUUCCACAUUUCUAACAAGCUUCCAGGUGAUGCAGUU